CGGCGCUCCGCCGCGCUCGCCUGCAGAUUGUCGGUGCAGCGCGCACCAGACGGCUGCGCGGGACAGUGCCCACGCUCCCCGUCCGGUGGGCGGCUCAAGGCACACCAGUGACACCUUCCAGAGAGAUGCUGUUUAACCUCCAACCUGCAAAUAUUUUAUACCCCCAGGUGGGAUCCGGGGUAAGGGCAGCAAAACCGGCUUAAACAUCUGCAGCGCAGGUUGGACGGCGAAGUGGAGAAAGAAGAAAGGGAAGGAGACGUGGAGAACAGAAAGAACUUUAAAUUUCCCUGAGCAGCUAUUAUGAAGACACUAUCCAUCAAUUUCUAAUUUAACCUUUUAUUUUUAAAAAGGAAUAUUUUCUCAGAUGUCUUUUUCCCUGUCAAUGGAGAUUAUUGUACAACUUUUGUUCUUAAUGUAUUAAUAGGUGAAUUAUAUUAAAAAACAAUGGCCUCUA